rnacentral:rRNA from 1 species
AAAUUGAAGAGUUUGAUCAUGGCUCAGAUUGAACGCUGGCGGCAGGCCUAACACAUGCAAGUCGAACGGUAACAGGAAACAGCUUGCUGUUUCGCUGACGAGUGGCGGACGGGUGAGUAAUGUCUGGGAAACUGCCUGAUGGAGGGGGAUAACUACUGGAAACGGUAGCUAAUACCGCAUAACGUCGCAAGACCAAAGAGGGGGACCUUCGGGCCUCUUGCCAUCGGAUGUGCCCAGAUGGGAUUAGCUAGUAGGUGGGGUAACGGCUCACCUAGGCGACGAUCCCUAGCUGGUCUGAGAGGAUGACCAGCCACACUGGAACUGAGACACGGUCCAGACUCCUACGGGAGGCAGCAGUGGGGAAUAUUGCACAAUGGGCGCAAGCCUGAUGCAGCCAUGCCGCGUGUAUGAAGAAGGCCUUCGGGUUGUAAAGUACUUUCAGCGGGGAGGAAGGGAGUAAAGUUAAUACCUUUACUCAUUGACGUUACCCGCAGAAGAAGCACCGGCUAACUCCGUGCCAGCAGCCGCGGUAAUACGGAGGGUGCA